rnacentral:rRNA from 1 species
GACGAACGCUGGCGGCGUGCUUAACACAUGCAAGUCGAACGGAAAGGCCCUGCUUUUGUGGGGUGCUCGAGUGGCGAACGGGUGAGUAACACGUGAGUAACCUGCCCUUGACUUUGGGAUAACUUCAGGAAACUGGGGCUAAUACCGGAUAGGAGCUCCUGCUGCAUGGUGGGGGUUGGAAAGUUUCGGCGGUUGGGGAUGGACUCGCGGCUUAUCAGCUUGUUGGUGGGGUAGUGGCUUACCAAGGCUUUGACGGGUAGCCGGCCUGAGAGGGUGACCGGCCACAUUGGGACUGAGAUACGGCCCAGACUCCUACGGGAGGCAGCAGUGGGGAAUAUUGCACAAUGGGCGGAAGCCUGAUGCAGCAACGCCGCGUGCGGGAUGACGGCCUUCGGGUGGUAAACCGCUUUCGCCUGUGACGAAGCGUGGGUGACGGUAAUGGGUAAAGAAGCACCGGCUAACUACGU